CCCCUCUCAGGGUCGCACCUGGAGAGUUUCCAGCACUCUACAGGUCUUGACUACAGGAGGGAGAGUCAAGCAGAGGCCUAUCCAUUCCAUUCCUAGAUUGGGCAGUGGCUAGCGAGUGGAAGGCAAUCUGUUACAGGC
rnacentral:snoRNA from 1 species